rnacentral:tRNA from 1 species
UGAGCCGGAAGUGAUUCGAACACGCAGCCUUCUGAUCUGGAGUCAGACGCGCUACCGUUGCGUCACCAGCCC